GGAGGGGACCUAUGAGGGUCAGGGUCGGCUGUGGGGUCAGCAGACACAAGGGGAAGGUGGGUAGGGCUGGGGGGGUCAGGAGAGCCCUGAGGGUGUUUGUCCCCCCCCCCUUUAAGGGGUGACCUGAUAUCCCCCACCCCAAAAGGGGGGGUCCCUUGUGUGGAUUGGGUGGGUCUGUGAGGGGAUGUCCAUACAACCCAUUCCAUCAUCCCAUCCAGCAUUAACCCAGCUCCAUCCCCCUGGCUGGGGGCACAUGCCAGUUGCCCACCCCCCAUCAUCACCCCCGUAUCCCCCCAUGAUGACGGCUUAAUCCUAAAUGAAUCCCCCCCCCCACAUACACACAAACACACACACACCACGAUCCAGGCUGCCCCUCGCAUCCCUUCGGAGCCAUCACACACAGCCCUGCGGGCUCUGCGCUCACUGCUGCCUUUCUAAGGCCAAGAUUGAAGAAGGAAAAAACCUAAAGGGGGGGUUGGGGGGUGGGUUGAGGUGGGAGGAGAAGAGAAUCAAGAUGUUAAAGGCUUUUCCAUUGGCGGCGUGGCGGUGCGGUCGCCCCUUCGGCCGCCGGUGCAACCUGCUCGCCUCCAAGGUUGAAUGAGCUUUCUGCAAAGCAAACGAGGAAGGGGGGGAGGAUUGAUUAACAACAACAAAAAGCAAGCAUUAAAAAAGAAGGAGGUGAAGGGGGGGGGGGGGAGGAGGAAAGCAAAGCAGCACGUCGGGAAGUGGCCAGGCCUGUCCGAAGGGAGGCAGGCGUGGAUUAGAGAUGGGAUUUGCUCUGGGUUGGAUAGUGAGAGCUGGGUGUCACCACCCCAAAACCACGCAGCUAAAGCAGAGCCCAUCCAACAGCAAAGGGGGGGGGGUGAAGGGGAGCGGCUGAGCUUCAGCCCUGCGGGGUUGGCCCCCCCCCAACCUCCUCCUACAACACGAUGCUGAUGGUGGGGAAGGGGGAGGAUCUGUUAUUUAGCACUCGUUUAUCGUGCUCCGAGCCCGGCGUUAUUCGUUAACUUCGCGUUGCAAAUGGCUUUUCCGAGGCUCAUCUCACGAGCUGUGUUUCCUGUACUUUAAUCUGCUAUUUUUGUUGUUGUUGUUUUUAAGGUAGAGGAUCCACUCCGGUUUCAGCUCCUUGCUGCGUGAUUCACGUUUAUCAGCACGGCCGGCAGCAGGAAUUUGUUAAAGAAAUAAACGACCUGCUAUAUUUCGCUUUGCUUUUCUCUCCCCCCUUUCCCCCCCCCCCAAAUAAAAGGAGGCAUUCUAAAUAUCCCAUCGGUUGCUAAACCAAUCACAGCCAUUUAGUGGAGCGCUAAUUAGUACCAUUUGCAGCAAACGUGGUUCUGAAAGGAUGUAUACAUUUCAAUUGUGUGUUUCUGUUUGAUUUUGGGUGGAGGGAGGAGAUGCUCGGGGGGCUGUCAGACCCAGGAAGGGAUCCCAGCAGCCAGGGCUGCAUCUAUGGGAUGAGCUUUGAAUUGGGGCAGCUUGUGAUCUCAGAGCACUGAACCAGAUGCUGUGCUGUUGAAUCCACUGCUCUGUGCCCCAUCUUUGUGUUCGGGAGGAGAUGGGGGUCACUUUGGUGGGUCAGAGCCAUGGGUGGUUAAUUCAGCAAUAAGCUGAGGUUACACCAUCCUUUUAUGCCUUACCAAAAGGGUUGGGGGUUUGCAUUGUGGAGCCCCAUCUCUGCUGCAAACCUGCAUGCUGUCCUCCUCAAAUAGUCUUCUAUGUAACACCUGUAGCUGCAGCUCCUUUCCAAGACACCAAACCAGCUCCCAACGAGGACGAGGCAGCUCAAUUUCUGUGCUGUGGAUGGGAAAGGAAUCAACAGGCAACCACGUUUAUGGCCAUGGGCAGAAAUACUAGAGAAUUCCUCUAAGAGCAUCAUGUUCUGUCAGCAAAGUGCCUGGUAGGAAUGAAGGACAGACAAGCUUAUCAUACAGCUUCUGCAGGAGGUCAGCAAUGGGAGUUUUCCUCAUCAGAGCCUCAAAGUCAGAGAUCUUGGAGGUUUUCCUGCUGUUUCAUCACAUAUAAAACAUAGUAAUAGAACAAUAGGAAAACGAAGUUUGGUUAUCUCAGCAUCGCAGUAUUCAGAGUACUUGGAUCUCUAAGAACCCUCACGCAAUUGACCUUCCAUUCUUCACACAAUAAACCUGCGUGGCACACAAACACUCCUCACUUUUUCCCCCCCAUUUCCAUGUGAGAUGCUGCAGCUCCAACACACCGGUCCUUUUAGAGGAGCUGCUUUGAAAGCUGGCGGGCAGGAUGGCUAUGAGCAAUGCAGGACGUACAGGGCUGACCAAAUAUUAUCUCAUCCAUGGGGGCAAGCCAGCCCUCCUACACCCUCAUCUGUGCCAGAUUCCUCUUGUACAGCAUCCUGCUCUCCAGGUCUGCCAGCAGCCAGCAGCAAUGCUUCCUGCUGCAUCCCCCCGUGGCAGCGCUCCUGUUUUCACUCCCUGGAUGUCAGCAAUAUCUUUGGCAUGUUGCGCUUCUAUCACGGUUUGGAAAGAGCUACUCAGCUGCCGCAGCCAUUUUGUCACUGAAUUCAACUGGAGCAGCCUCCAGCCAGCACCGUGCUUAGCAAAAAAAAGAGAGCAAAAAACCUUUGCAUCACUGCUGUGCUCUGAACCAACAUUAGAUUUGGCAAAAAAAUGUGCUGAGAUUUUAGAGAUACCGCAACGCAGCACCUAACAAGUUCUUUGUCAUGAAUUUUGGAGAUAAAAUAUCGGCCGUGAGGUGUAGGAAUGCACCGACAUAACGUAGCACACUGCAAAAGGAGAGCUGAGAUUCCUCUGUGAUAGCAGGAAUCUGGGACCCGAGGAAAGCACCGAAUUGCUUCAACCUUUAAAGCAUGAAAGCUGUCAUCGGUGAUCUCAAAUCAGGACAUUUUACAGCUGUUGAGAUGGAAAAA